GAUGAACGCUGGCGGCGUGCUUAACACAUGCAAGUCGAACGGUGAAGGCGGAGCUUGCUCUGCUGGAUCAGUGGCGAACGGGUGAGUAACACGUUAGCAAUCUGCCCCUGACUCUGGGAUAAGCGCUGGAAACGGCGUCUAAUACUGGAUACGAUCUGCGAAGGCAUCUUCAGCAGCUGGAAAGAACUUCGGUCAGGGAUGAGCUCGCGGCCUUUCAUCUUGUUGGUGAGGUAACGGCUCACCAAGGCGUCGACGGGUAGCCGGCCUGAGAGGGUGACCGGACAAACGGGGAAUGAGAAACGGCACAGACUAAGACGGGAGGCAGAAGUGGGGAAUAUUGCAAAAUGGGCGAAAGCCUGAUGCAGCAACGCCGCGUGAGGGACGACGGCCUUAGGGUUGUAAACCUCUUUUAGCAGGGAAGAAGCGAAAGUGACGGUACCUGCAGAAAAAGCGCCGGCUAACUACGUG
rnacentral:rRNA from 1 species